AUCCGCUUUAAGUAUACCGCGUUUUCGUUGCACGAUAAUUUUAUUGCACUUUAGUUUUAGACCGAUGACGAUUUUUUUUUCGCGUGCGCAUGUCACGUAAUCGUUCGCUCCUAAUCUUUUCGCGAUUCGAAAAUGCCUAUUCGUAUGCACAAAGAAACACGCGAGUGUCUACUUUAUAUUGUGAUAAUAUUACUAUAGGUACCUAAUAUACCAGUCGCGUGAUCGUAUUUUUCGAGAAUUUAUCAUUUUAUUACAUCUGCAUUACAUCUUACACCGUAUAAGCCGCGCGCAAAACUCGCCCGACUAAUCUGAAGCUAGCGCUUUUCGAUCGUCAAUUAAUUCGCCGCCCAAUAUUUUUAUGUCAAAUACCUCCAACGACUAUAUUAUACAUUAUUUUGGUAUAAUCGAAUAAUUAUUUUUUUUUAUUUUUUUUUUGUUUAUGCUAUGUUCGAUUGCAAUCGCAUUAUUUUUCUAUCUAGUGUUUGUGUCGUGCUAACCGACAAUAAAGUUUUUUAAACAAAUGUUAAUGAGUUCCAAAAAAUAUCUCCUGUUUAUGCAAUUUAACUCAUAAUCUCCAAAAAAAUUGAUUUUUUUUUUUUAACUUAUUGAAAUAAAAUCAAAUAAUGUACAUAAUGUACGCGUUGCGUAGUCAUUCAAAACGAACAGGUAGUGUUACGAACAAAUUUUGGAAUGUCGAGGUUAACACUUCUCAGUUUCUGUUUUGGUUUCAAAUAACACUGUAUAAGUAUUCCAUUAUCAAACAAUAGUAGUAUAGUAAAAAGUCCAAAAUCCAAUGCUAGCGAAGGCAUGUGAUCAAUUUAAUUUAAUUUAUUACAGUAUAAACAAAAUUAAGUUUGUAACGUUAUUAAUUUAAUCUGGACGAAAAUUAACAUUUGAAAUAAAUGAUUUAUUUGAUUUUUAUUAUUUCUUUUAUGGUAGCCAGCAAUUUUUAGGAAGAUUAUGGAACCAUUAUGUUUAUCUAGUUGUCUAGAUAACGCAAAACGGUAAUUAUAAUAUUGAGAUAAUUCAGAGUGAAAUCAUAUAGUUAAAUAUUAUUAUAAUUUAUAGGUAUAGGUAUAAUAAUAGUAAAUAUGUCUACCGUAUUGAAUAAGAAAAAUCAAUUCGUACAAAAUAUUAUUACUGUUACGAAAUUUUUGUAAAUUGCAGAGAUUACAGCGUAAUUGAAAUACAUACCACAAAAA